rnacentral:rRNA from 1 species
GAUGAACGCUGGCGGCGUGCCUAAUACAUGCAAGUCGAACGAAAAGACGAGGAGCUUGCUCCUCUGACGUUAGCGGCGGACGGGUGAGUAACACGUGGAUAACCUACCUAUAAGACUGGGAUAACUUCGGGGAACCGGAGCUAAUACCGGAUAAUAUAUUGAACCGCAUGGUUCAAUAGUGAAAGACGGUUUUGCUGUCACUUAUAGAUGGAUCCGCGCCGCAUUAGCUAGUUGGUAAGGUAACGGCUUACCAAGGCAACGAUGCGUAGCCGAUCUGAGAGGGUGAUCGGCCACACUGGAACUGAGACACGGCCCAGACUCCUACGGGAGGCAGCAGUAGGGAAUCUUCCGCAAUGGGCGAAAGCCUGAUGGAGCAACGCCGCGUGAGUGAUGAAGGUCUUCGGAUCGUAAAACUCUGUUAUUCGGGAAGAACAAAUGUGUAAUUACCUAGGCACGUCUUGACGGUACCGAAACAGAAAGCCACGGCUAACUACGUG